rnacentral:rRNA from 1 species
AACGAACGCUGGCGGCGUGCCUAAGACAUGCAAGUCGUACGGAAAGGCCCUCUUCGGAGGGCACUCGAGUGGCGCACGGGUGAGUAACGCGUGGGCAAUCUACCUUUGGGUCUGGGACAACCCCGGGAAACUGGGGCUAAUACUGGAUAAGACCACGAGCUCCUCGGAGCUUGCGGGAAAAGAUGGCCUCUCCUUGGAGGCUAUCGCCCUUCGAUGAGCCCGCGUCCCAUUAGCUAGUUGGUGAGGUGACGGCUCACCAAGGCUUUGAUGGGUAGCUGGUCUGAGAGGAUGAUCGGCCACACUGGAACUGAGACACGGUCCAGACUCCUACGGGAGGCAGCAGUCGGGAAUUUUGGGCAAUGGGCGAAAGCCUGACCCAGCAACGCCGCGUGAGGGAUGAAGGCCCUCGGGUCGUAAACCUCUGUCGGGAGGGAAGAACGGUUCACGUUCGAAUAGGACGGGAGCCUGACGGUACCUCCAAAGGAAGCACCGGCUAACUCCGUGCCAGCCGCCGCCGUAAGAC